CGGAGGGUGCAAGCGUUAUCCGGAUUCACCGGGUUUAAAGGGUGCGUAGGUGGGCAAGUAAGUCAGUGGUGAAAUCUCCGGGCUUAACCCGGAAACUGCCAUUGAUACUAUUUGUCUUGAAUACUGUGGAGGUCAGCGGAAUAUGUCAUGUAGCGGUGAAAUGCUUAGAUAUGACAUAGAACACCAAUUGCGAAGGCAGCUGGCUACACAAAUAUUGACACUGAGGCACGAAAGCGUGGGGAUCAAACAGGAUUAGAUACCCUGGUAGUCCACGCCCUAAACUAUGGAUACUCGACAUUUGCGAUAAACUGCAAGUGUCUGAGCGAAAGCAUUAAGUAUCCCACCUGGGAAGUACGAUCGCAAGAUUG
rnacentral:rRNA from 1 species